CGGCCCGUAGCUCAGCGGUGAGAGCGCCCGGCUGUAGAACGGGCGGUCCCGGGUUCGAAUCCCGGCGGGCCGA
rnacentral:ncRNA from 24 species